GCGCUGCUGGAGGAGGCGCUCGGCCUCUGGCGCGGGCCCGCGCUGGCCGACGUCGGCGACGCGCCGUUCGCCGCGGCGCAGGCCG
rnacentral:tRNA from 3 species